rnacentral:SRP_RNA from 1 species
GCUGGGUGUGGUGGCACACACCUGUGGUCCCAGCUACUCAGGAGGCUGAGGCAGGAGGAUUGCUUAAGCCCAGGAGGUCGAGGCUGCAGUGAGCCGUGAUCACGCCACUGCACUCCAUCCUGGGCAACAGAGCAAGACCCUGUCUCCA